AAAGUUGUGGGUGGCAGAAUUUGGGGCCAGCUUUCCUGUCAUCCUAUCCAUCCCCUGCAACCCUGGCACCCACCUGGGUCUCCUCCACAGAGUGUACCAGCCACACGUCCUGCAGGUCCUCCACGGCACCAUCCAGCCAGUUGUUGAAGGGCGCGGCCCGCCGGGCAAACUCCAGUUGCAGCCGGUCAAUGGUCUCCAGGAGCUUCUCCAUCCGCUAGAGAGAUGCCGGCUCCGGUCACCCAGUGGCGGCAGGGGCAGGGGUGCGCGGCGGGCUGCGUGACCAUGAAGCCUCAUCUGCUAAGGUGGCGAUCGCACCGGCCUAGCUCGUCCUAGGGAUUUGCUCUGCGGCGUCGGUGUAAUAACGUAGGUGAAAGUCCUCUUCCGUGGCGUGAUCCGCAAAUGACAUCAGCGUCCCCUGAGCGAGCUACGUCCAGGGGGCCCUUGGUACAGUUUUAGCAUAAUUUGACCUUAAAAUAGCUCUCAACGAUUCUGUAACCCCCAUGAGCCCCUGACCCGGCCUCCUUUGUUCACUACAGAAAUCCUCGACAGAACAAUGAAUGGAUGUUUCUAUCCAGAGUAA
ensembl:lncRNA novel transcript